rnacentral:rRNA from 1 species
AGUGAACGCUGGCGGUAGGCCUAACACAUGCAAGUCGAACGGCAGCACAGUAAGAGCUUGCUCUUACGGGUGGCGAGUGGCGGACGGGUGAGGAAUACAUCGGAAUCUACUUUUUCGUGGGGGAUAACGUAGGGAAACUUACGCUAAUACCGCAUACGACCUACGGGUGAAAGCAGGGGAUCUUCGGACCUUGCGCGAUUGAAUGAGCCGAUGUCGGAUUAGCUAGUUGGCGGGGUAAAGGCCCACCAAGGCGACGAUCCGUAGCUGGUCUGAGAGGAUGAUCAGCCACACUGGAACUGAGACACGGUCCAGACUCCUACGGGAGGCAGCAGUGGGGAAUAUUGGACAAAGGGCGCAAGCCUGAUCCAGCCAUACCGCGUGGGUGAAGAAGGCCUUCGGGUUGUAAAGCCCUUUUGUUGGGAAAGAAAAACAGCAGGUUAAUACCCCGCUGUUCUGACGGUACCCAAAGAAUAAGCACCGGCUAACUUCGUG